CCAAGGCAGGGGGUUCGUUUCAGUCAGACUCUUUCUCUGAAAUAAUGGUUUUUAAAUCCUCACAUCUCUAGUUUCUUAGAUUUCAGCUCAGAUUAAGCAGUAGCUCAGCUGGAUAGGACGUAAAAAUAGUUACUUCGGUUGAACCCAACACAGUGAGAGAAAUUCACAGUCACGUCAUGUUGAGAAAGAUGGUGCAUUUCCCUCCCCGUCUGGGACUGGUACAACAUGAAACUGCCCAGUUGUUUCUUGCAAGAAUGAAGCAGAAAAACAUUACUCAGACUAUCAACUGAAGCAAAGGUUGCUGAGGCCAUCUGAAGCCAGUCUUAUGGGGCAUUAACAUGUAAAUAUUAAGUAAAUAUGUCUCUAAAAGUCACUAAGUAUUGUUUCUGAUGCUAAACAGGAUCUGCUUCCCUUGUUUCAUUACGGAAAGACCAAACCUGUGAGAUUCUGCUCCACAUCCACUUCUCCAAGCUGAGAGAGACCUCUGUGGCGCAGGCGUCUGCCCAGUUUGGGGUUCAGCUCACAGAUUCCUGCAGCCUCUGGGCUCUUCUCCAGCCGGGCGGUGGCUUCAUCCUUCCUCUGGCCGGACUGCUAAUGGUAGGUGCCUAACGACAGGCUGCAUUGCCCGUGUGAGCGUACCUAUAAUGAGUCCUGCCUGUAAUUCCACCAGCUGUACAAAGCACACGGAUUAAAUACUACGUGCCACACGGACGAGUGUUUUCUGGGGCGUGCAUUUAUUGGUAAGAAAAAUUCACUAGAAGAGUACCUGAAUUUUAGUCAUAGUGUUGAUUCAUAGCACAUAGAUCUGUUCUACAAUUGCAGUUACUACUUAAAAAGUCAACAAAAGGCUACAGUAUUAUCUGAGCUUCUCUAGCAAUUUCCUCUCUCACAUUAGACAUGCCUUACUUUCCCUUUGUUGUCCAAGGAAAUAUUAUUUGUAUAAUAUUCCACUGUGCUUUAAAUAGUCCUCCAGUUCCUUUCUCAGAUGAAUUAAGAAUAAAGUUACCUCUUAUUAAACAAGCCAUAUUCCUUUGUUGCCUCAGAUUAUCGCAUUCAGGUGUGCUGGGGGGCGAAGAAAAGCGUCCCCCUCUCCCUAAGCCCUGCGAAGCCCUCCAGGGAGCCCCUGUCACAUUUAGUCUUUCUGUCGCUUCCAGAUUCUCUGGGUGUCUCUGAAUAACAGCAGGAUGCGACCCCAGCUGCUGGCUCUUUCCAGAGGCAGGACUCCAGCCACGCGUCGGUGCUGAAUGACCCAGACUGGCCGGUGAUGGUGGCAUCAGCCUCGCAGGCAGGUCUUUGCAGGUGUGCACCACCGCUUGGGAUCGCUGUGAGAUGGGAGGUUAGCGGUUCCAGAGGAGGAAAAGAAGGAUCACAGUGAAACACCAGCCAGAAAAUGGGUAAUUCAGGGAUGGCAACGCUCUCAUGCACCACCUCUGACAACUGCACGCCCUCUGCAGUGCAUUUUCUUGUGCUUUCGUCCAGCCUGUUUCGUGUUUUCUCUCUCCAGUGGAACAGGUUUGACUGUUUCCCUUGGGAAACCAUAACACAGCAACCACACAGCACUUGCUGUCAAAUUAUUUUUUUUAAUUUUCACUUGAUUUCCUCUCUCCUAUUCGCACAACGCUUCAUAGCUCUUUUCUGUGUAUUUCAGUUCUAAGUAUUUCCCAUGCAAGCACGUCCUUAAAAUAUCUACUGGCUGCUUUCCCUGCCCCAUGUUUUAGCCAAGCUGUAUCUAUACGAUCUUCAAUUUCUCUUUUUUCUCAUGUUAGCGCUUCAGAUCCUACGGUUACGGGUUUUGUGGAUUUUUUUUAACACUGUAGUUUGUUACCCCCCUCUCACCGCCACCGCCCCCCCUCCCGCCAUCAGUGGAGUCCUGGCGCUGUGGUGUCCAAAGGCAGCUGCUGGGUCACGCUGCGAGGACUCCCACUGCGCGCCCGUUGUGGCAGGGCUGGCAUAGGCAGGGAGAAAAAGCUACUUUUAAUGUAUGGUAAGAUGAAAGAGAGCAGCCACAGCAGCACAUUAUAAGAAGCUACAGCGUUGUUCUUUCUCCUCUGCAGCAGUUGACAGUCUGCACACUUUUUGUCUGGACUGCCCGUUUCUAUUUCAGGCGUUCCUUAGAAUGGGGCCCCUUCUUAAGAGAUAAUGUCUUAUUACAGUUGGUCUUUGAUCUCUAAGUGGAGGUCCAGGCACAAGUACAAUUUGCAAUUAUUUCUUAGCAAUAGAAAUUAGAACAGUAGUUGUGUUGCCUCUUUUUAAAGCAAGUUUUGCUUCUGCUAGUGAAUAUCUGCAAUUUGAUCUAUUGUUCCUCACAUGUAGGGGUUUCUUUCCAAGGAAGAAUUCUACUAUCAAGAAUUGAAGAGUUCCUUGGGUAAAUAAUGUGCCUUUAAUAUCUUUAGCCUUCCACUUGGAUCAUUUAUUCACUAUAUAAUAACAGAGAUGAAAACUCUGCAAUAUUUCAUUCUCUUCAUUGGCAACGGGUCCAGCAUAACACAGGUGCCCUUUUUCCUUCUUCCUCAUUCAGUUUUGGGUAAGGUUAGUGAGUGAAUGUGGUGGCCAAACACCACUGCCGCAUGCCACUGUGCUAAUUUCCCUAAGAGCAACGAAGUUACUACCUCGCUUUCUUUGUCUAGCUGUACCUUUGUAGAAGCCUUGGAAAGAUUUAGCUUUCAGGGGGUAUAUGAAUUUUCAUUUCAGUUAAAAUUUAUUUGGACAAAGUGGACAGAAGUCCCUCUUAAAUAAAGAAGUUGUUGGUGGGUUUUUUUGUUUAAAAAAUCUUCACUCUCUGAUUUAAGAAAUUAUAAAGAAAUCAGGUUUUCCAACAGACAGGCGAUCCAGAUGGGAGGUUUAGAUAAUAUGUAACCAUUAAAAAAAGUUUCUAGAGCCAGAACUUAAAAUAUUACACAUUUUAAAAUAUUUUUCUUCUUUUACAACCACCUCUACUAAAUAACGGAGUAUUGUGAUAACAUACCCUAUAAAUAUCUUUACGUAAAUGCAGCUUGACUAGGUGUAUUUUCUGCCCGUGGAUCUGGAUUAGUAUAUAGGUUGAAAUAUUGCCAUAUUGCUUUAAGAAAGUAGAAAGCCCAAAUGUUAUUGCGCUGCACCAGAAGUGAUGAGGUACUUGGUAGGCAGUUACUUAGAUUAAUGAGCAGGAUGUCUGCAGUCCACUAAAGAACAUCGGCAAUCACUCAGACACCUGAGAUACUGCACAGGGAGGGUUGUUCAGACCAGAAAAGGUUCACAUAUAAUACUAAAAAUACAUAAUAUUUUUGCUAAUAAAUGGAGCUUGGAGUCAUGCUCAGUGUAUUCAUAAACUAAUUAAGAAAGGAGAUUAAAAGCGAGUGGGAGAUGCAUGACUAGAGAUAUAAUCAGUAGGAAUACACGCAGUAAAAUGAAUGAGAAACUGAUUAAAUGGGUAUAAAGGGGGAUUGCGAACCAGGUUUUGACCUCGCGGUGUGUUGCUUGGCUAUCUCUGGGCAGCGUUGCGCUUACGAGGUACUGUUCUGGCUGAGUAAAGGGAUCUGCAUGGCAAAGGCAGUCCUGAAACACUGCGCUUAGAGGUAACUGCCUGAGCGAGCCUGGGUUUGCUCUUUUGUACUGAAGAUUUAGUCCAGGGACUGCAGAGGGGAAGAGAAAGAAUGGGCCAAGUGGGCAUUCCCAGAUCAGUUAAGGCUCAAUUAGGUGACCUUUCUGCCUUUGCAGUUCCCUAUAUCUUGAUAGAUAGUAGUUAAGAAUUUUAAUUGUCUGCAACCAAAAUAACAUGGCAUCUUCAUACAGACAACUUGUCAGGGUGGGUAAAUGCGUGGGGCUUUGUAAACUUGACAGUGUCUCUCUAGGUAGCAACUGCUCAUGAUGGAAGGUCCCUGAACUGCUUAAGGUGUAUUUGAAAUAUUAAAAAAGAAAUGGUUGUUUUGUUUUCUCGCUAGCUCCAGCUUGAGCGUUAGAUCAUGUCAAAGUCAAAGUGUAGUUGUUAAUGAUCAGUGCUAGCUGUGCCUGCCGUGAGGGAUGAAAUGGAAAAGGGGGAUUAGGACUAACUUGGCAUCUCUUCUAGAUGCUGGGAAGAGAAAUGCAAGCAGAAAGUCCCAGGUAGUGGCAAUGAUGUCACAGAAUCCCAGGCUGGCGGGGCUGGAAGGGACCCCUGGAGCUCACCCUGUCCCACCCCUGCUGGAGCAGGCACCCCCAGAGCAGGGGCACAGGGCCGCGUCCAGGCGGGGGGUGAAUGUCUCCAGGGAAGGGACCCCACAGCCUCUCUGGGCAGCCUGUGCCCCUGCUCCGGCACCCUCAGACCUGCCACCUCUGACCCUCUGUCCAUACUCACUAGUCAGUGCGUCUCACUCAAAAACAGACACAAAAUGUCAUCAUUGACACAGGAUGGAUAAUCCAGUCUCCAUGCUUGUGCAGCAACUAACAUCAAUUGCUAUGUCUCGUCAGAUCUCAGCCCCUUACUGGAACUGUGUUGAUGUGUGGCCAAAUUUGAGGUUAUUUGCCUUAAUCAACCGCUGCUUUUUUUUUUACCUAACAACUUGUCAAAUGACUGAAUGACAAGUUUGGGAUAAUUAAAUAAAUAUAUCCAAACUAAUUCCCAAUAUUUCUCCAUUACACUGUUCAAAAAGGCAGAGGAAAAAUACCUUUAACAAACACAUUUUCAAGGAAAUUAUAAUUUUCUUCGUGUUAUGAGUAAUGCAAUAUUAAGCACAUACCUCAGCUCUUGCAUUAUGUCUGCAUCUUUGAUGUUAGUGAUCAAAUAUUCAUUGCCUUGAUUAUUCAAAUAAUUAGACAUUUUAUCAGGUUCUUUGAAAAGCUCAGAAGUAAAAAGGCAGAUCCCUUGAAGGGCUGUUCAAUAUUUAGUUUACUGUCAGCAGAAGAGUCAUCAGGCAGGAGGAUACCGUGACAGGGAAAAAAAGUGUUUGUCGCAGAAGGUCUCCAGUUUUCAAAGUGAAUGCUUUAAAACUUUGGCUGUGUUGUAGCUACUCCUUGCUCAGAAACUGGAGGCCAGAUCCUCACCUGGGGACACUUCCCUUCAUUCCGGUAGCUUUAAUGGAAGGAGGGCCAGGCCAGGCCAGGGAGCGCUGGUCUUAGAUGAAAUCCCUCACACAGCUGAAGGGUCUACUCAAGCACCCCUUCUGCUUUGACUUAAAUGGGAUUUAAAGACAAUACCGUGAGGAAACUGCAUUUCUCCCUUGCAGGAGAGUUGAUGAAUAUGCAUAAAAAUAGACUUAAAGAGCAUGUAUAAUUAAAACUGGAUACGUAAAUUUUUCAUUUUCUUUAUGAACAACAAACAGUGACACCAGUAAAAUUCCACCAUUUUUAAGUUAUCAUUUAACAGUUGCUUAAAAAGAAAAAUUGCAUAUUUAGAUCUUUAUUAUGCUUAAUCAUUUCAAGCUUUCCCACUAUCGUGUGGGUGUCGUGGAACAUAAGAAUAAAAUCAGCUUGAUGCUCAUGAAUAAUGUGCGAGAAAUUUUUUUUGUUUGUUAUAAUUUCUACCCCCCAUAUUAAUUGUAAUCAGCAGAGGAGGCAGGCUCUAGUUGUCUUGCUAACGAUAAAUACAAAUAUAGCAAGGGUAUUUUUAUUUGUAUUUAUUUAUUUAUUUCACCCUGGCUCUACUCCAUGCCAAGCAUGUCUCUAAAGAAAGAACAACGGGAGCUCAUCAGUGUGGGUGCACUGUAGAAAUGGGGGGUUGUAGAAUGUAUGUAUGCUUUUUUUAUUGAGAGAUAAAUUAUAAAAGUGCUUUCCAUCACUUUCUGCUACAGGUUUUUUAUUAUGCCUCCAUGCUCCAGACGCUUAUGUAAGUGUGCAGGAAUAUAUUCUCCAAAAAGACAAAAGUGGCUUGACUUAAAUGUUAAUUUUUAUACAGAUUCAAUCAUGGUAAGCAUUAUCUAUAAAAAAAGAGGUCAGCAGGAAUGCUUCCUAAGAAACUACUGUUACAUACAUACAUGCUAUACAUAAGUCCAGGUAACAUUUUACGUGUAUAAUUACAUAAUGAAUUUAGACAAGAAAGCGGGGAUCAUAUGAAACUAAAUCUAUCCAGUUGUUUCUAGAGCACCUUUUCUUUUGCAGCAGUGCAUAUCCAUUACAGCCAUAUCACAGAAAGCAGAAUGGUGACAAACAGGACAAAAACAUAACUGUAACCAUAUUUGCAUGGUGCUUCUGACCCUGUCGAAGGCCCUAAAGGUCCGGAAACUCAUUUUGCCGCCUUCUGUAAUGUUAUUCCCGACAGGUUGCGGUACUGCAGAUGGAGCGCGGUUGUGGACGGGCACAUGAGGUCCCCAGGCCUAUGUGAGCAGCAGGUGGCCGCGCUCGCAAUGGAGGACCUUCCGGGGGUCCCAGGGUCGGCGGGCAGGUCUGACGCCCGCUCUUGCUGCUCACACGCUCCGCAGCUACAGAUGCCAGAAACGCCAAACCAGGAAUCUGCCAACAGACCUGGAGCACUUGGGCUAUUUGGUUUCACCAUCCUAAACUACCCUAUUGCAGCAAUGAUUAAUACGAAGAGUAAAAAACCCAACCAUAUCUUUUUUUUCUGACUUAAGUGUUUGAGGUACAUUUAAGAACAUGCAAAUAGUUAAUUUCUGAAGAAAAAUACACGCUUCUCCGUAUUCAAGCGCUACAUUUUCAAGAGGCUUUUCUUUUUCCUCGAUACUGGAUCAGAAAUAAAAUGAUUGCAGUUGUUACAAAGGACUCAAGGAGAAAGAGGACAGCUGGGAGCAUUAAAAACAGUCCUCAGUCACUGCAAGGUUUUACUCAGAAGCCUGCAAUAGCAAGUAUGAGCAAGAACUAGAGCCACAGAAAUAUUCUGCUUGAAAGCAGCCAGUUAAACCUGCGACUCUUUUCAACGGGGAGAACUGCAUCUGAUUCAGUUCUCUUGUAAAGGACUGAACACUUUCCAUUGGUUUCAAUGCGGACUACGUGAGGUGUCGUGGGCAAGGUCAGCCAGUCACAGAGCUGGGUGAUCUCUCGCGGCAGGCACAGGCUCUGAGCAAAGGAUGCUGCGUAUUGCGCCGUCGCUGUUUAUGUGACUCCCCAGUAACCAAAAAAUACAUACAAAGAAUGUCAUUGAAGCAUCUGUCUUUCCGAUCUGGAUCACUGAAGAGCAGACCUGACCAUAAUACAGGGGUUUCUUCACAGCAAUAUUUGUGGGCAAAGUACAUUAUAGACAGCAAAGCAGAUAUUUUUUUAACAAAAACACAAUAUAUUUUGCAAGAAGACAACCCCUUCUCUCCAAAACCAGUCUGGGGGGAAAACUGCUUCGUGGAAGCCUCCCUGCUUCGCCUGGCAAGAGGUUUUGAAUAAGAUAUAAGAAGCUUGUCUCAUCACAAAGCUUUUCCAAUAGAAAAUAUGUCACUUGGUCCUGGUAAUGAGUCUAAUUAAGUCAAAAUCUGCAGAAAGAAGAAUUGUAAACAAUUAUUUUCACACCACCUACUGAAAAAAAGAUCUGCUGUUGAACUGGGGAAAGCAACAGUGUAACUGGGGCAUCAGAGGUGCUUAUGGUUAGAAAACCCCCAUAGCCAUAAACUUCACAGCGCAUAUACAGCGACAGCCUCUGCACGAGACACAAGGCAAAGCAAAUGAGGCUGUUUUGUGAAUACAAAUCACCCUCAGCGCUGGCAACGAGACUGCCCAUGCCUUACCUGAAGCAAACAGAAUUUGGUUUUGCUUUAAUGCAUGUUCACUCCUUAUGAAUUGUUUUCAAAGUCACCUUCUUGAACCUGGCAAGUUCGGCUUGCCAUUUCCACCUCUGUCCUGGGAAAGGGGAAAGACAUAGUGGCUAAAACUAAUUCUGUUCUCUGUCCAACAGCACAUGUAGACUUGGCUUAACCUGAGAUAUGGCGGUAUUUGGCCCAGUGUUUGCAUGGUGUUUGUUUUCUUCCCCUUGGUCAACUGGAGCUUCAGUGCCUUAUGUCCAGGAUUCUCCUUGUAUGCUCAUCUGCUUCUGCCCUAAACCAUUUGGGACACCAGCUUUUCAGAGAAAGUGCUGUCUGUUUUUAGGUACAUGCUUUGCUCUAAGACCGUUCAAAUGAUGUGAAGUGAAAUAUUGGCUGAUAAAUUAAGAGUUCAAGUGGCUGCUUCUUUUUCCUUUAUUUUGUAUCAUCUCCAUUUUUGUGGCUUAAAAGAUAUGUUAACGCCAGCCCGGAGCUUGAACGCCACCCCAGUGAGGAGGGAAUGUUAGUGAAUAAUGUGAAUUUAGGUAUUUAAGCAAAACAUUGAAAAUAACACUGUAAUACCUGAAGGGAUAUUCUUCAAUUCUUAAAAUUAUUACAGAGAAUUAAAGUGUUGUUUUAAGCAGCCUGAAAUACUAAUUAUUGCUUUAACGGAGGUGCCACUUAUAACAAACUACAUUUAAAAUUUCAUCAAGAAAGGGAGCACAAGAGAUUAUAGCGUUCAUAUCUACAUUGUUUGUGGGCAGCAGUAAAUUCAGUUUAUCAGCAAGGUAUUCAAAUUAAUACAAAAUGAACCAGCACAUUUACCGGGAGAAAAUUUCUUGUCUUUUCUGAAGCUCGCAGACACCAGAAAGCAAUAUAUUACAGCUCAAAUCUGAGGCAGUAAAUUAUGAGGUUUUUCCCUCUAUCCAAGGUAGAAACUCAACACAAGUAAAUAAAUAAUAACAAGGAAAACCUGAAGCAGACUGCCACUUCUUUCCACAUUGACUCAACUAAAUCAUCCCUUGUGCUUUGAUCAGUUUUAGGAGCGAACGCCUUUUCUUUCUAACCCAAAGAUCUAAAGACCACCUGUAGCGUGGGGGAUGUAGGAGGCGUUUUCGCACAUCCCUCCAUGAGUUGGUGUCCGAACAUUUUUGCCUUGAAGAACAAAGGACUGCGUAGGGAGAGUUCAUGGAAACGAUUAGGGGACGUUGCAGAUACCCACUCUUUCAGUGCUAGUUUAACCUCUACCCUGCAGGAUUCCUGUUUACUUAAGACCUCUGAAGAGCUAGAUUACUCUUGUCGGCAGGAGUUAAAGACACUUAAGAACAGGAAGAACACAAAAUCACAACCUUUGCGAGCCAACCUCAUCUGCCUGGCAACCGAGACUUGCCUAGAUCUUCCAGCCUAAAGAACCAGUGCAGGACCUCCUAGUGUAGGCACUAAUUCCAGGGAAAUAGAAAUCCUUCCUAAGAGAGGGGGUCAUGCUCCCUAGCAAUCUUUCCCCUCACUGAACCAGAUUUUAUCAGGGGAGUUCAGCUCCCCACCUCACCCACUCCCUCUCAGAUGAGAACUCGGGAGAUCUGGGAACUGCAGCAGGCUGUCCUUCGGAGGGUCGUAGCCCAAGCUGCUGGUUUUCCUCUGUGUCAUGCCUGCAGAGUGCACGUCACUAUUUGGGAUGAUUUCUGUGCAGGUGCUCGUGCUAGAUUCCUCCCAACACUUCUACUGUUUUCUUCCUCUUGCUCCUGUUCUGUCACCGUUUCGUGCUUUGCUUCUGGCUUGGUGGGAGACACGAACCCGUGUCACCCCUUGGUGGCUUCCUGGGGCUAUGUCUUACUGGCUUUUAAUUUUGUCUUUUGAAGUACAUACCAUACUUUUUAUAAAAGCUCUGACAAGCCUGUGUUUUGGGAGCAUCUCAACUCAGGUAACCAAGAAGCAGCAGAGCUCACUGGAUAGGAUCUGGCAUGGGUCUCUGAAGUCCUGGGUUCUGCUUCUGCCUCAAGCCCAGGAGCUUUCAGCACCUGUGGAUAAGUCCUUUCACCUCUCUGUUUAUGGACUUUUUACAUAUUUGGCAUUUAUUUUCAAAGAUUUUUGUAGUUUAAAAACAUUGAUUCCCAUGUGCUUGUGUAGAGCCCGACAUACUGUGACUCUGAUUUCACUUGAGUUUACUGAAGUAUGAAGAAAUAACUGGAGGGGUCCUAUGUUCCAGAGAGGCAGGUAAGGGCUGAAAUCAGUAGUACAACCGCCAGUUCUUAUUACUGCAAAUACACUUAUUUCUUAGCUAGUUCUUUCUUUAAGACAUAGUCAAAAUUAUCUCUUAUUGUAGUAUAUAGAAGAAACCUAGAAAAAAAUCCCGGCCUUUUAAAGCCAGAGAAAGCGAGUGGUAUAAAAGAAAGAAGUGAUGUAUGUCGAGACAAGGAACCAAAUUUGUUUGCUUAUUCUUGAAAGAGCACAAUGAUGUGCUUCCACAUUUAGAGAGUAUUUACUUUCUGAAAUAUUUUUUAGAGAGUGUAUUAUGGUCAAAUUCACAAUUGGCCUCAGAGAAGGACAUGGACUUGGAGCUUGUUCAGAGUAAUUUAAUCAAUCUUAUACAAAAAAGCAACAGCCAACCAUUAUGGCCCAAGUCAAUACUAAAAUGAUUUCCCAAAACUCAUUUAAAAAUCACUUCCAGGAACCAACUGGUAGCUUCAAAACUCCGAGGCUCAACUAUAAAUCUAAUUUUCUUUAAGGUCUGUAAUUGAGCUUUUUUUUUUAAUAAAAAAUAUAUUGUACUGCCAUUUCCUUUAAAUAAAAUAUUGCGCAUUGGGUGGCA